UAUACCAAUGGUCAAACCUGCUUUUGACGAUACAAAAACUCAGCCUUACCUAUGAAGCAUAGGCAAGGCGUUGCAGCAAAACCAACGAUGUUCAUCGUGGGUUGGGUUUUGAUUGGGUCGGGUUAAGACAAAGGUGGUGAUUUUUCUUCAGCAGCCUUGUAUUCAAGAAAAUCCUCAUAAGGAUCAGAUUCACUAGAAGAGUUGCUUUCAUAUGGCGUGGUUUCUACUGGUGAAGAUGGAAGUGAUGAAUCUCGUUGCUGUGGAGGUAUACCUGAUCAUCAACAAUAGAACCCGGGUUAUUGAAAGGGUGGCAAUUUCCAAUACCACAUGAAAGUAAUCAAGUUGUUAACAUUCACAAUUUUUUUAUGGAGAAUAUGACAAGUGGACGGACCUUUCUUGACACGAAGCUUUUUAGUGUGGCGUCGAAUGAGUUUCCUAGUAGUUAUGGUUAACUGUCUGGCAAACGGAGAAUAUUCUGUAUCACUUUCACUCCAGUCACCACCACCCAUUUGAUCGUUUUCUCCCUCGCCUCUCAUUGUUCUCAGCACAAAGGCCUUAGCCUUGCGCCGCUGAGAGUGGAAUAAUCCUCUGAUCGAGGUCACAAAUCCAUCUCCCGCACCCUCAGGAGGCCGUUUAGGCCAAGUUAUAGGAACCUGAUCGGCUUUACUGCUAGGACCACCGCCAUCACUGUCACUAAGAUUCAGAUCGGUUGUAGGGAUACCAGACACCAUUGUUUCUUUUCCAUGACCACGGAGACUCGAAGAUUGCAUUUGUAGCAUAAGUUCAUUAGUAACAGAUUCUGCUACAGAUUCUUCGCAUGUUCUAUCAAAUGAAGAACAUCGCCCGAACUCAGGUGAUGUGGUUUUCCCAUUCUGCCCCUUCGAUCCCUACAUGAUCAUCAACAAUAAAUUCUAAUAUGAUAAUAUGUAUCUACACUUCACAUACCUUAUAAUUUAACAUGUCAGUAAAAACUCACAUGAAUGGAAUCAGAAUGGGUGGAAGAAUGAUUGCUUCGGGACCCCUCUAAUUCUUUUGUUGACUGACUGUUUGAUGAAGAAGCCUCAUUUACAGUGGAAACCUUUUUUGCUCUUCUUAAACCAGAAGUAGUUGACACCUUCCAAACUUCCUGUGUGUUGAAGUAAAACAAUUUUCGUACUCAUAAUUAAACACAAUAAUUAUUUUAUUAUAAAAAUGGAAAAAACACUUAACCUGGCGACGUUGACUAUCUUGCUCCUCUUCUGGGAAAAAGUACCCCCACAUCAUUCUAUACAUUUGCUCAGUCAAAUGAAUUUUCAGCGGGUAAAUAUCCACCUUUAAGGAUCAAACGAUAGCUUUAAUCAGUACAAGAUGAUAAGCAUGUCAACCAUGGAUAAUAAGUGUGUUGGUUAACUGGGUAUUGAUAAAGAUGUUUAUUAUGUCACUGCAAGAUCAAUGAUCAUUGUAAGUUUGUAACUACAUGCUCUAUGCGUCUAUUAGAAGAUUUGACUUUGUUCUGCUUCUGACUUGCACAUGCUCGAAUGGACAGGUUUGCUAGACAUGUGGACUUGUUAGUAGUUUAGUAUAGGUUUAAACCUUAAUGUAAAAUUAUGUAAGAAAUAGAAACUCUGCACACAUCGGCCCACUCACAUCAUACUUAUUAUAGUAUCCAAAGUUACAAGAUUUAAGGAACCUAAUUCUUUUGUGGUAAGAACAGGCAUAGGUAGGGUCAGUUUUGACCUUAAAAGUUCACCAAGAUCAUUAAGAUUGACUAUAUCUAAUUCUUGAUACAACUUAUAUUAAGCAGUGUGUGGAAGUUUUAACCUGGAAUAAUUCAAUAGGUGAGUUGCCAUCCUUUGGAGCUCCUUGUUUUGCAUCUACCCGAAGCAUCACUUUUCUGCAGCCGCAGACAUGAAGUGUAAUAUAAUCACCGAGUUCAAGCAUAUGCAAUAAUACUCUGAAAAAAAAAAGUUACAUACUUGCCCCAUUCAGGAGGAGGAUUCCAUGCUGACAGAAGCAUGUCAGAUUUUGCAUUAGGCAGGCAAUUUCUCACCACAAAGUACUUUGUUGUGAACCUAGCAAGACCAACAUCUUUAUAGUCUCUGUCAAAAUCAUAUUUCUGCAAACAACAAGAUGUUUCACUAGAUUCAUCAUUAAAUAUCAGAAAAAAAGUAGGUAAAAAAUCAUGAAAAAUGCCCAUUCUGUAGUUAAAGAUAAGAGUCAGACUUAUUACCAUGUCAUUUAUCUCAGCUUCGGCAAAAGCUUUGCCAUCCACAAACAUUCC
rnacentral:lncRNA from 1 species